ACCUGGGUGGCUCAGUUGGUUAAGCUUCUGACUUCGGCUCAGGUCAUGGUCUCACGGUUUGUGGGUUCAAGCCCCAUAUCGGGCU
rnacentral:tRNA from 1 species